UACGUAGGUGGCAAGCGUUAUCCGGAAUUACUGGGCGUAAAGCGCGCGUAGGCGGACCUGCAAGUCGGGAGUGAAAGCCCGAGGCUCAACCUCGGAACUGCCUUCGAUACUGCGGGUCUCGAGUCCGGGAGAGGUGAGUGGAAUUCCUAGUGUAGAGGUGAAAUUCGUAGAUAUUAGGGAGGAACACCAGUGGCGUAAGGCGGCUCACUGGCCCGGUAC
rnacentral:rRNA from 1 species